AGCGACCCUUAUCUCUAAUUAACCCUAAGACUAACGGGCUAUACCGCCAGCCCAGGCCCAUUAGGCCCAUUACGUACUCUAACAGUCAUACAGAAGUGCUUGUCAAACUUUGGUGCAGAGGAGAACAAGGUACAUAAUAGUACUCCGAAUGUCCCCUCCUUACCCCAUGCACACAUUUAUAAUUGCAGUUCAAUUUCAUUGCUUAUCUUUGGUUUCUUAUGCAGAAUCCUUCAUAUGGUAUGGAUUUCCUAUAAACAGAGUUUGUACCCAAAGAUGUGUUGAUGGUUCCCUAUCACAAAAGGUUUUCUAGUUUUCCUUUUUCCACACUAAUUGAUUUUAUUCAAUAUAUGAUAUGGUAUGGAUUUCCUAUAAACAGCGUUUGUUCCAGUGCUACCUCAUUGCAGGAAGUUGGGCUCACUUGAUUGCCAUUGUUGUACAUGUUCUUCUAAUGCUUAAGAAAUGGAACUAUAUUGUACUGAAUCAUUCGACUACCAAAAAUAUCAAUGGCCUUUUUGUCUAUAGAAGAGGUUCUGACAUACCAGAAUUUAAAUUUAAUCAUAUAGUGUAUAAUUUGUUCGGGAAUGAUUCUAUAUGUUCAAAUCUCGUUCAGUUUGGUGGUUGUUUGAUUGUUUCUGCAGUAAGCUUUAUUAGACUCCUCAAAUUCAAUUGAGCCCAUGGUUAUGAAUUCACAGUAUACUUGAUAUAGGGUAAUAGUGAAUGUCUUCUGAGCCUUUAGAUCAGACGAUCAGUACGUUCAAAAGAACAUCAACUGAGUGAAAGUUCAUUUCUUUAGAGCAUUUUUUUAUAAUGCACCAUUCUGUACUUGCCAAUUGCCUUAAUUUUUCUCUAUGCACUAGGCCCUUGGCAUUCUUAGAAGGUCGUUCCAUAAUUUCUGUGAUUCAUCCCUCUGUAUGUGGCUUGAAAUGGAGGCUUGCAUGCCCAAGGCAGGUGGUUAAAGCCCUCUUUUAUUGGUGUGGCACUGGUGAGUGCAAUGCAUGAUGCAGCAGCUGGAGACGUGGCCAACAACACUUAGGAAGCGCCCCGCCUGUGAAGCGAUACAUCUGAUGCCAACAUACCAAGAGUGCAGGUACCAACUAUCCUGCUUCAGUGAACUAUGGCUAUGAAGGAAAUUUCCUACUAGAAACAUAUGCAAUGUUUGGUUAUCUGUGUCCAUCUAACUGUCAAAAGCAUCUCUGCAAUGCAAAGUGGACUGUGUAAUACUUCUUGAAGAGGCAAUGCUUGUUAUCUGUAUGAAAGUUUCUAACUGCAUUAGCAGGAGAAAGGUUCAGUUUCUGUUAGUGUACUCUUCAAUAUAUCAUUUUUGCUCCUUGGAACUUUGGACCUUCGAACUUCUGUUUCGCUUGCUAUUUAUUCUGUGGUGAAGUAGUAAAAUGUAAAUGCAUAGUCUGCC